rnacentral:lncRNA from 1 species
CUCCAUGCAGAAUUCCUGAGGGUCCAGGAAGAGCGGAUUUUACACCAGCAGGUGAAGUGCAUCAUCACAGAGGAGAAGGUGUGCAUGGUGUGUAAGAAGAAGAUUGGGAACAGAGAAGGAGAACAUGGCUGCUGGCUGUCCUGACAACUUUUAGUUCUUGAGCCUUCAGAGAGCAGCCUGUUCUAUCUGUUGGGAGUGGGCUUCGAGAAUUUAAAGACCUGCAAUGUAUGUGCAUUUGCAAGAUACCCCAAUGGAGUGGUCGUCCAUUACUUCUGUUCCAAAGAGGUAAACCCAGCUGACACUUGAGCCCAGCAUCCUGGGGAUCCAGCGGAUGGACAGCUUGGCUCUCCCAGAGAGGUGAAGGAGCACCUGGCCUUAGGAAUCCUGGCUGCCACCACCACAAGGCUCCCCAUUUGGACAUUACUGGCUAUCUUGUGCCCUGGAACAACUCUGAAUUAAUUAGACUCAUGGUCUGGCAUUGCCAGCUUUUUAAUGGGAAAAGAGAUUAGUUAUACCUUAUACCAUUAUGUUGUGGGCAAUUCCAGAGAAUUCAGUACCUGCUUGGUCAGGAGGAUGUGCACCAUCUUGCCUUUGCACACCAGUCACCUGAACAAGGAAACUUGUCACAA